UAUACAAGUUCACUUCAUUGAAUAAAAAGUAAGUCAAAUUGCAGUGAAGAAGAUGCAACAAUCGAGUUAUUUUAUAGUCUGUCUUUUCAUUUUAGAUAGUGCCAUAAUGCAGAAAGCAAUUUCCCUUAUAUUAUAUUUCUCUUAACAAAAUAAUAUCAAUGUUUUUAACUACAGAUAUGCUUCUCAACUGCAAUAGCUGCCGCAGGUGUUGACGGUGGAGGUGUCACCAUCAAAACCAUUAGAAACAACACGACCAAGUCAAUGAUGCAAGUGGAAGUUUUGCCAUGUAAUAGUUGACCGCUGACGCCCUUCUCCAUCGAUUGUGUAAGUAUAAAGAGUACUACCAAUCUGCAGUUCUGCAAGAGACGCAAACAAAACAAGAAUACAAUCGCAGGAAGACUCCAAAAAAUGUCCAACCCUGACUGUAAGUGAGUUCAAAUUUUAAAUCUACAACGAAUCCAUUUAUUUUGCUCCUAAGGAUCGCAUUGGCUUAACGGUGCCAAUCAUUCGGAGGCAAAUGAGCUGGCCCGACAAGAAUCCCCAAGAAGCCAAACAGAUUCAGAUCAGUCUCUCGGCAGCUACUGACGAUGUCGGCGAGUUGAAUCCAUCGAUUUUCACACAGAAAAUCAACAUCAAAAAAAUCACGACAAUUCAGCAGCGUCAUGGUCAACCUGCCGAUCAACCAUUCACAGUGACCAACCCCUAUUCGUAGCAGAAUGCGAACACAAUGUCAUCAAGCCGGAGUACCAUCCAGGAUCGAUCAAGUAUCGCAUUCAAUUGUUGUGCGUUGUGAAGAGCCACUGAAGCCUGGCACGUCCACUGAAUUGAUCCUCAAGCUUACUAACCCAACGAUGUACCAUAUGACCACAACCAUUAUGAAACUGCCAACCAAGGAAGAAGAACGGCGAAUGAUUACUUCGAAUAAAAGUUCAACGAAAGGAACCAAAAUUCACCACUUGGAGAAAGUCCAAUAACGUAACAAUCAAAUUGAACUUCACACCUGAAGAAGGACUGAAACCAGGCGAUGAUGUUACCCUUAGUUUUUUGAUGAAAUAUACUUUUGUGAAUACAUACACACGCCCGAAAAGAAAGAACGUCAAAAACACGCAUUAUCAUCGAAAGUUUUUGUAAAAGUUGGUCAAAUUGAAGCCUAGAUUUAUUUCUAUGUACAUAUAUCUAUAAAAUAAUCUUUUUUUGCAAAAAACUUGUUUAUUUAUUUUGAGCUAUAGUGUAAUUUUGUAUAUAUUGUAUAUUCUAUUGUUUCUUUGCUGACUAGGAUUAUUUUUAU